rnacentral:rRNA from 1 species
GGCCGUAACUAUAACGGUCCUAAGGUAGCGAAAUUCCUUGUCGGGUAAGUUCCGACCUGCACGAAUGGCGUAAUGAUGGCCAGGCUGUCUCCACCCGAGACUCAGUGAAAUUGAACUCGCUGUGAAGAUGCAGUGUACCCGCGGCAAGACGGAAAGACCCCGUGAACCUUUACUAUAGCUUGACACUGAACAUUGAGCCUUGAUGUGUAGGAUAGGUGGGAGGCUUUGAAGCGUGGACGCCAGUCUGCGUGGAGCCGACCUUGAAAUACCACCCUUUAAUGUUUGAUGUUCUAACGUGGAYCCGURAUCCGGGUUGCGGACAGUGUCUGGUGGGUAGUUUGACUGGGGCGGUCUCCUCCUAAAGAGUAACGGAGGAGCACGAAGGUUGGCUAAUCCUGGUCGGACAUCAGGAGGUUAGUGCAAUGGCAUAAGCCAGCUUGACUGCGAGCGUGACGGCGCGAGCAGGUGCGAAAGCAGGUCAUAGUGAUCCGGUGGUUCUGAAUGGAAGGGCCAUCGCUCAACGGAUAAAAGGUACUCCGGGGAUAACAGGCUGAUACCGCCCAAGAGUUCAUAUCGACGGCGGUGUUUGGCACCUCGAUGUCGGCUCAUCACAUCCUGGGGCUGAAGUAGGUCCCAAGGGUAUGGCUGUUCGCCAUUUAAAGUGGUACGCGAGCUGGGUUUAGAACGUCGUGAGACAGUUCGGUCCCUAUCUGCCGUGGGCGCUGGAGAACUGAGGGGGGCUGCUCCUAGUACGAGAGGACCGGAGUGGACGCAUCACUGGUGUUCGGGUUGUCAUGCCAAUGGCACUGCCCGGUAGCUAAAUGCGGAAGAGAUAAGUGCUGAAAGCAUCUAAGCACGAAACUUGCCCCGAGAUGAGUUCUCCCUGAGACUUAGAGUCUCCUGAAGGAACGUUGAAGACGACGACGUUGAUAGGCCGGGUGUGUAAGCGCAGCGAUGCGUUGAGCUAACCGGUACUAAUGAACCGUGAGGCUUAACCUUACAACGCCGAAG